CCUACGGGUGGCAGCAGUCGAGAAUCAUUCACAAUGGGGGAAACCCUGAUGGUGCGACGCCGCGUGGGGGAAUGAAGGUCUUCGGAUUGUAAACCCCUGUCAUGUGGGAGCAAAUUAAAAAGAUAGUACCACAAGAGGAAGAGACGGCUAACGCUGUGCCAGCAGCCGCGGUAAUACAGAGGUCUCAAGCGUUGUUCGGAAUCACUGGGCGUAAAGCGUGCGUAGGCUGUUUCGUAAGUCGUGUGUGAAAGGGGCGGGCUCAACCCGCGGACGGCACAUGAUACUGCGAGACUAGAGUAAUGGAGGGGGAGCCGGAAUUCUCGGUGUAGCAGUGAAAUGCGUAGAUAUCGAGAGGAACACUCGUGGCGAAGGCGGGUUCCUGGACAUUAACUGACGCUGAGGCACGAAGGCCAGGGGAGCGAAAGGGAUUAGAUACCCCUGUAGUC
rnacentral:rRNA from 1 species